UAAUACUCGGAGCACGGGGGUAGUAUGCUUGGGAAUCUGGCUUAUGGAGGGGGAUAACUACGGGAAACUGUAGCUAAUACCGCGUAGUAUCGAGAGAUGAAAGACUGGGACCGCAAGGCCAGUUGCCAUAAGAUGAGCCCAAGUGGGAUUAGGUAGUUGGUGGGGUAAAGGCCUACCAAGCCGACGAUCUCUAGCUGGUCUGAGAGGAUGACCAGCCACACUGGAACUGAGACACGGUCCAGACUCCUACGGGAGGCAGCAGUGGGGAAUAUUGCACAAUGGGGGGAACCCUGAUGCAGCCAUGCCGCGUGAAUGAAGAAGGCCUUCGGGUUGUAAAGUUCUUUCGGUGAUGAGGAAGGGUGGUGUUUUAAUAGAGCACUACAUUGACGUUAGUCACAGAAGAAGCACCGGCUAACUCCGUGCCAGCAGCCGCGGUAAUACGGAGGGUGCGAGCGUUAAUCGGAAUGACUGGGCGUAAAGGGCACGCAGGCGGUGACUUAAGUGAGAUGUGAAAGCCCCGAGCUUAACUUGGGAAUUGCAUUUCAUACUGGGUUGCUAGAGUAUUUUAGGGAGGGGUAGAAUUCCACGUGUAGCGGUGAAAUGCGUAGAGAUGUGGAGGAAUACCGAAGGCGAAGGCAGCCCCUUGGGAAAAUACUGACGCUCAUGUGCGAAAGCGUGGGGAGCAAACAGGAUUAGAUACCCUGGUAGUCCACGCUGUAAACGCUGUCGAUUUGGGGAUUGGGCUUAGAGCUUGGUGCCCGUAGCUAACGUGAUAAAUCGACCGCCUGGGGAGUACGGCCGCAAGGUUAAAACUCAAAUGAAUUGACGGGGGCCCGCACAAGCGGUGGAGCAUGUGGUUUAAUUCGAUGCAACGCGAAGAACCUUACCUACUCUUGACAUCCUAAGAAGAACUCAGAGAUGAGUUUGUGCCUUCGGGAACUUAGAGACAGGUGCUGCAUGGCUGUCGUCAGCUCGUGUUGUGAAAUGUUGGGUUAAGUCCCGCAACGAGCGCAACCCUUAUCCUUUGUUGCCAGCGAUUCGGUCGGGAACUCAAAGGAGACUGCCAGUGAUAAACUGGAGGAAGGUGGGGAUGACGUCAAGUCAUCAUGCCUUAAAUGGU
rnacentral:rRNA from 1 species